rnacentral:rRNA from 1 species
UACGUAGGGGGCGAGCGUUGUCCGGAUUUAUUGGGCGUAAAGAGCUCGUAGGCGGCUCGGUAAGUCGGGUGUGAAAACUCUAGGCUCAACCUAGAGACGCCACCCGAUACUGCUGUGGCUAGAGUCCGGUAGGGGAGCAUGGAAUUCCUGGUGUAGCGGUGAAAUGCGCAGAUAUCAGGAGGAACACCAGUGGCGAAGGCGGUGCUCUGGGCCGGUACUGACGCUGAGGAGCGAAAGCGUGGGGAGCGAACAGG